rnacentral:rRNA from 1 species
UACGUAGGGGGCUAGCGUUGUCCGGAAUCAUUGGGCGUAAAGCGCGCGUAGGCGGCCAGAUAAGUCCGGUGUGAAAGUCACAGGCUCAACCUGUGAAUGCCGCUGGAAACUGUCUGGCUUGAGUCCGGAAGGGGCGAGUGGAAUUCCUGGUGUAGCGGUGAAAUGCGCAGAUAUCAGGAAGAACACCCAGUGGCGAAGGCGGCUCUC